UACGGGGGGGGCAAGCGUUGUUCGGAAUUACUGGGCGUAAAGGGCUCGUAGGCGGCCAACUAAGUCAGACGUGAAAUCCCUCGGCUUAACCGGGGAACUGCGUCUGAUACUGGAUGGCUAGAGUUUGGGAGAGGGAUGCGGAAUUCCAGGUGUAGCGGUGAAAUGCGCAGAUAUCAGGAGGAACACCGGUGGCGAAGGCGGGUCUCUGGGCCGAUACUGACGCUGAGGAGCGAAAGCGUGGGGAGCGAACAGG
rnacentral:rRNA from 1 species